CCUACGGGGGGCAGCAGUGGGGGAUAUUGCACAAUGGGGGAAACCCUGAUGCAGCGACGCCGCGUGGGUGAAGAAGUAUUUCGGUAUGUAAAGCCCUAUCAGCAGGGAAGAAAGAAGACGGUACCUGACUAAGAAGCCCCGGCUAACUACGUGCCAGCAGCCGCGGUAAUACGUAGGGGGCGAGCGUUAUCCGGAUUCACUGGGUGUAAAGGGAGCGUAGACGGCCGUGCAAGCCAGGAGUGAAAGCCCGGGGCCCAACCCCGGGACUGCUCUUGGAAAUGGGCGGCUGGAGUGCGAGAGGGGCAGGCGGAAUGCCUGGUGUAGCGGUGAAAUGCGUAGAUAUCAGGAGGAACACCGGGGGCGAAGGCGGCGUGCUGGCCCGCGACUGACGUUGAGGCUCGAAAGCGUGGGGAGCGAACAGGAUUAGAUACCCUUGUAGUC
rnacentral:rRNA from 1 species